ensembl:lncRNA
CCUCUCUCCCACACCUCCACGCCCCUCUCCAGGCCUGCAAGCACCCCUGAAGCAAUAUCAGGCUGUAUCACCACCACCCAAAGGCGCGGCCUCACCCACCCUAAAAGAAGACAUCCUACGUCUCCAGAGACCACAUUAUCUGAAAUUCUUAGAGGAAAGGGCUGGAAAUACGAACUCAAAGACUCCUCACACUUUCCCUCAGUCCCUUCCUCCUUCUCAGGCACCUGCCAGCCUCAGGAGACUAAGAAGGCCAGCACCUGCCAGCCCUGCAGGAAAGCCCACCACACCUGUGAACCCAGGAUCAGGGAACAGACAGUGUGAAUGAACCUAAAGAUGCUCGAUUAACAGAAAGGUUGCUGAAUUUAUAUGAGACAGGCCACCCACAGUGAUGAAGAUUCUGGAGGGAUGCAGAGGAAGAGAGACUGAAGGAUCUAGGGACACAGCUUCCCAGCAUGGGCGUCUCAAUGGCCCAACACAAUAACCCAACAUCCUGGAGAAAUCAACAUUCUCGAAUUGUCAAAAAUACGCUAGAACUGUGAGUAGUAUGUGAAUCAGUCCUGUACAUUGUGAAACCUAAGCCUUAGGUUAUUUUGCAAUACAAAAAUAAAAAGUUUGCCAU